GUAGGGGGCGAGCGUUAUCCGGAUUCAUUGGGCGUAAAGCGCGCGUAGGCGGCCGCCUAAGCGGAACCUCUAACCCCGGGGCUCAACCUCGGGCCGGGUUCCGGACUGGGCGGCUCGAGUGCGGUAGAGGAGAGCGGAAUUCCCGGUGUAGCGGUGGAAUGCGCAGAUAUCGGGAAGAACACCGAUGGCGAAGGCAGCUCUCUGGGCCGUCACUGACGCUGAGGCGCGAAAGCUGGGGGAGCGAAC
rnacentral:rRNA from 1 species